rnacentral:rRNA from 1 species
GUGGGGAAUAUUGCACAAUGGGGGAAACCCUGAUGCAGCAAUGCCGCGUGAGUGAUGACGGCCUUCGGGUUGUAAAGCUCUGUCUUCAGGGACGAUAAUGACGGUACCUGAGGAGGAAGCCACGGCUAACUACGUGCCAGCAGCCGCGGUAAUACGUAGGUGGCAAGCGUUGUCCGGAUUUACUGGGCGUAAAGGGAGCGUAGGCGGAUACUUAAGUGGGAUGUGAAAUACCUGGGCUUAACUUGGGUGCUGCAUUCCAAACUGGGUGUCUAGAGUGUUGGAGAGGAAAGUGGAAUUCCUAGUGUAGCGGUGAAAUGCGUAGAGAUUAGGAAGAACACCAGUGGCGAAGGCGACUUUCUGGACAAUAACUGACGCUGAGGCUCGAAAGCGUGAGGAGCAAACAGGAUUAGAAACCCUUGUAGUCC